rnacentral:rRNA from 1 species
AUUGAACGCUGGCGGCAUGCCUUACACAUGCAAGUCGAACGGCAGCACGGGAGCUUGCUCCUGGUGGCGAGUGGCGAACGGGUGAGUAAUACAUCGGAACGUACCCAGGAGUGGGGGAUAACGGAGCGAAAGUUACGCUAAUACCGCAUAUUCUGUGAGCAGGAAAGCGGGGGAUCGCAAGACCUCGCGUUCUUGGAGCGGCCGAUGUCGGAUUAGCUAGUUGGUGAGGUAAAAGCUCACCAAGGCGACGAUCCGUAGCAGGUCUGAGAGGAUGAUCUGCCACACUGGGACUGAGACACGGCCCAGACUCCUACGGGAGGCAGCAGUGGGGAAUUUUGGACAAUGGGGGCAACCCUGAUCCAGCCAUGCCGCGUGAGUGAAGAAGGCCUUCGGGUUGUAAAGCUCUUUCGGCGGGGAAGAAAUGGCAACGGCUAAUAUCCGUUGUUGAUGACGGUACCCGCAUAAGAAGCACCGGCUAACUACGUGCCAGCCGCCGCGGUAA